rnacentral:lncRNA from 1 species
ACGCAGAAAGUACCCCACAAUACCAGAGCACAGCUCCCAACAAUGCACCAAAACAACAAGUCUAACGAAAUGAGAGUGGUGCCACUAGCUAAUCAAAAGAACAAAUUUCAGCACCGGGACACAAUGCCACCCAAAAUCUCAACAACUGUCUCCAAUUGGGCAGGCAAACACCCAAUGGAACCUACCAAAAGUAGCAAAU